CUUAUAUUACUAGAAUCCGAGGAAGCUGCUUCGAUGCAGCAGUUGUUGCAACAGCUGCUACAGCAGCAGCAGCAGCAACAACAACAGCAGCAGCAACAACAACAAGAACAGCAGCAGCAACAACAACAACAGCGACAACAUCAAGAGGAAAUGCAACGAGCGUUGCAGUUCCUCUUUGAUGAGCUGCACAAGCAGCAGCAGCAGCAACAGCCGCAGCCGCAACAGCCGCAGCCGCAACAGCCGCAGCCGGAACAGCCGCAACAGCCGCAGCCGCAGGAGAUGCAGCCACAGCCGCAGCCGCAGCAGCUACGGCCAAAACGAAAAAAAAGAGGUGCCGGCCGCGCGCGGGCCCGCUGGCGAGCCCAGCGGGGCUUUUGGGGUGCUGGCCGAGGCGGUGACCGAGGUGGCAACGAUCGAGGUGGCGGCCAAGGUAGCGGCCGAGGUGGCGGCCGAGGUGGCGGCCGUGGUGGCGGCCGAGGUGGUGGCCGAGGUGGUGGCCGAGGUGGUGGCCGAGGUGGUGGCCCCACAUACAUAUACAACUACAAAUAUUACAACAUAUCGUAAAAAUAAAUAUUAUAAAAAAUACUUUAAAUCUUUUAAAUAUCUUUUAUUCCUUUCAUUAUUCCUUUCCUUUAUAUAAAUUAAAUGUGGUAUAAUAAGGCUACUGGCGAAGGUCCACGUAAAAAAACCUAACGCGCUAUUAGUGGCACCUCAUGGGUGGCGUGGAAGCCACUUAAAUAAUUAAAUAAAGCAUUAAACAGGUCUGGUAAGCUAGACUUUACAUCUAUAAAUAAUAGAUGUGUUUAAGCAACAAUUAAAAACUAGUCUGGCAUGCUAGACCUCACAUCUAUAAAUAAUUGAUGUGUUAAAGCAUUAAACAGGUCUGGUAAGCUAGACUUUACAUCUAUAAAUAAUAGAUGUGUUUAAGCAACAAUUAAAAACUAGUCUGGCAUGCUAGACCUCACAUCUAUAAAUAAUUGAUGUGUUAAAGCAUUAAACAGGUCUGGUAAGCUAGACUUUACAUCUAUAAAUAAUAGAUGUGUUUAAGUAACAAUUUAAAACUAGUCUGGUAUGCUAGACCUCACAUCUAUAAAUAAUUGAUGUGUUAAAGCAUUAAACAGGUCUGGUAAGCUAGACUUUACAUCUAUAAAUAAUAGAUGUGUUUAAGUAACAAU
rnacentral:misc_RNA from 1 species